rnacentral:tRNA from 1 species
GGCGAGGUGGCCGUGGGGUUAAGGCGAUGGACUAUUAAUCCACCAUACGAAUCCCACCCUCGUCG